UACGUAGGGGGCUAGCGUUGUCCGGAAUCAUUGGGCGUAAAGCGCGUGUAGGCGGCUUGGUAAGUCCGUUCUGAAAGCCCGGGGCUCAACCCCGGGAGGCGGAUGGAUACUGUCAAGCUCGAGUCCGGAAGAGGCAAGUGGAAUUCCCGGUGUAGCGGUGAAAUGCGCAGAUACCGGGAGGAACACCAAUGGCGAAGGCAGCUUGCUGGGACGGUACUGACGCUGAGGCGCGAAAGCUAGGGGAGCGAACGGG
rnacentral:rRNA from 1 species